rnacentral:rRNA from 1 species
AUUGAACGCUAGCGGGAUGCCUUACACAUGCAAGUCGAACGGCGUGGCGAACGGGUGCGUAAUGUAUCGGUACGUGCCCAGUAGCGGGGGAUAACUACGCGAAAGCGUAGCUAAUACCGCAUACUAUUGGAGCGGCCGAUAUCGGAUUAGCUAGUGGGUGGGGUAACGGCUCACCAAGGCUACGAUCCGUAGCUGGUUUGAGUGGACGACCAGCCACACUGGAACUGAGAAACGGUCCAGACUCCUACGGGAGGCAGCAGUGGGGAAUAUUGGACAAUGGGGGAAACCCUGACCCAGCCAUGCCGCGUGUACGAUGAAGGCCUUCGGGUUGUAAAGUACUUUCAGCGGGGAGGCGUUACUCGCAGAAGAAGCACCGGCUAACUCCGUGCCAGCAGCCGCGGUAAUUC